rnacentral:lncRNA from 1 species
GUCAAUGACAGAUAUACAUUUAGCGAAGUUACAUUUGUCUCCAUAAGAGGCGCUAAAAACAGUUGCUCAUCAGGCAACGUUGGAAUUAUGGCGCACCAAGCUCACUAAGAGGCUGGAGUAACACGAGACGCAACGGACGAAGCAUCUUUGUGGUGUAUUAUACAUGCAUCUCACGUUUCAUACCGCGUGUUUGCAGUUGUAUCUCCUUGAAUCUUUUACAUCCAACCAUUUGAGGUGUGAAGCUGUUAACAAUGGGAAAAAUGUGUGUAAUGGAAAAACUUUUGAUUGGUAUCUGCCUUCAUGGUUCAACAAAAGUUUUAUCACCGACUAGGAGUAGUAGAUCUACUCCUAGUCUGUGGUUUUAUGGUGAAGAUUUAUGGUAGAAGAAUUUAGUAGGAGGAAUGUCGAAGGAGCCAGAGUUGUAGGACUGCUUAAUUCUUUUAUAGGUGUAACACAUUGUGCUUAUGAGAUGUUAAUGUUGGCACUGCAGUUCAGCUUCUUGAUGCAUAUGAGUGGCUUAAAUCUGGUUUGUCCAAUUGGUGUGGCCUUUAGAAUCAGCAAGUUUUUGUUACUGUAUAAAUGAGUCACUGUGAGAUAAUAUUUUUUGUGAAUAUAGAAUAACCAAAACUCGAUAUUUUUGGUAUCAGCAUAAGAGAUUUUGAAAUGUUGUAGAGCCUGCAACCAAGGAGCUUCUGGAAGGACUGAUUGUGCCACUUAAUUAUUUGUUCCCUUGUGGUGUUGCUGAUGGAACAACCAUGAUCAUGUCGGAUUAUCAAAGUUCACACAAUGUUUGAACCUGGCAGGGAUCCAAGAAGAGAGAACGAAUAAGGAUUCGGGAGUAAUAAGAGAAACCACCGGCCUUCCGUUUUCAUUUCGGGCUAGAUUUUUGCCAACUUAAGCCAUCGACGCCAGCACUUCGUACCAAUCAACGCAUAUCAAGCCUAUAAAAGCGAUGUGUAUUUAGAUUAUUUAAAAAUGAGUGGGGAGUGGGAAAUAAAUUUUGAACAGCGCUGGGCUGACGAAAAUUUUAUCCAGCUCAAAACACUCAAGGACAUGGAUCUCCUGGUGAAGGAAAUUAAACAACGACUAAGUUCCAUUGGUAUUGAGGAGGCGAUUGAACCCAAUAUCACACCAUUAACAGAAAGUGAAAAGGCUCUGUUGCUCCAUGUCGUCCUCUACGGAGCUUUCUAUCCAAAUUACUUCACGCGUGACGCCGUCAGUGGCCAAAUAGAUGAAUUCGAAGAUCUCAAGAGUCUCUCUGGAUUGGAUCCCUUUAGCACGGUUCGACUACAAGGAUUCACUUUCUGCGAACCGCAUAAAGCAUAUGGCCCACAAAUGUUGAACAACAUUUCCAAUUUCCCAAUAAAAUGGUGCUAAUCAAUGUUGAUGUAACAAAGGAAAAUAACAUCAAACAGGUUGUCCCAAAAAUCAUGGAAGAAUCUACAGGAAAAAUAGACCUUCUUUUGAACUGCA